rnacentral:rRNA from 1 species
CUUGAACGCUGGCUGCCGGCCUAACACAUGCAAGUCGAGCGAGCGGCGGACGGGUGAGUAAUGUCUGGGAAACUGCCUGAUGGAGGGGGAUAACUACUGGAAACGGUAGCUAAUACCGCAUACCAUCAGAUCUGCCCCGAUGGGAUUAGCUAGUAGUUGGGGUAAUGGCUCACCUAGGCGACGAUCCCUCGCUGGUCUGAGAGGAUGACCAGCCACACUGGAACUGAGACACUGUCAAGACUCAUACGGGAGGCAGCAGUGGGGAAUAUGGCACAAGGGGGGCAAGCCUGAUGCAGCCAUGCCGCGUGUGUGAAGAAGGCCUUCGGGUGGUAAAGCAAUUUCAGCGGGGAGGCGUUACCCGCAGAAGAAGCACCGGCGAACUCCGUGCCAGCAGCCGCGGUAAUAC